rnacentral:rRNA from 1 species
UGGAGGGGGAUAACUACUGGAAACGGUAGCUAAUACCGCAUAACGUCGCAAGACCAAAGAGGGGGACCUUCGGGCCUCUUGCCAUCGGAUGUGCCCAGAUGGGAUUAGCUAGUAGGUGGGGUAACGGCUCACCUAGGCGACGAUCCCUAGCUGGUCUGAGAGGAUGACCAGCCACACUGGAACUGAGACACGGUCCAGACUCCUACGGGAGGCAGCAGUGGGGAAUAUUGCACAAUGGGCGCAAGCCUGAUGCAGCCAUGCCGCGUGUAUGAAGAAGGCCUUCGGGUUGUAAAGUACUUUCAGCGGGGAGGAAGGGAGUAAAGUUAAUACCUUUGCUCAUUGACGUUACCCGCAGAAGAAGCACCGGCUAACUCCGUGCCAGCAGCCGCGGUAAUACGGAGGGUGCAAGCGUUAAUCGGAAUUACUGGGCGUAAAGCGCACGCAGGCGGUUUGUUAAGUCAGAUGUGAAAUCCCCGGGCUCAACCUGGGAACUGCAUCUGAUACUGGCAAGCUUGAGUCUCGUAGAGGGGGGUAGAAUUCCAGGUGUAGCGGUGAA